rnacentral:rRNA from 1 species
CGGGCCGUGGGGGCAGCUACACAUGCAGUCGAGCGGUAACAGAGAGGAAGCUUGCUUUCUUUGCUGACGAGCGGCGGACGGGUGAGUAAUGCCUAGGGAUCUGCCCAGUCGAGGGGGAUAACAGUUGGAAACGACUGCUAAUACCGCAUACGCCCUACGGGGGAAAGGAGGGGACCUUCGGGCCUUUCGCGAUUGGAUGAACCUAGGUGGGAUUAGCUAGUUGGUGAGGUAAUGGCUCACCAAGGCGACGAUCCCUAGCUGUUCUGAGAGGAUGAUCAGCCACACUGGGACUGAGACACGGCCCAGACUCCUACGGGAGGCAGCAGUGGGGAAUAUUGCACAAUGGGGGAAACCCUGAUGCAGCCAUGCCGCGUGUGUGAAGAAGGCCUUCGGGUUGUAAAGCACUUUCAGUAGGGAGGAAAGGUAGCGUGUUAAUAGCACGCUGCUGUGACGUUACCUACAGAAGAAGGACCGGCUAACUUCGUGCCAGCAGCCGCGGUAAUACGAGGGGUCCGAGCGUUAAUCGGAAUUACUGGGCGUAAAGCGUACGCAGGCGGUUCAUUAAGCUAGAUGUGAAAUCCCCGGGCUCAACCUGGGAAUUGCAUUUAGAACUGGUGAACUAGACUCUUGUAGAGGGGGGUAGAAUUUCAGGUGUAGCGGUGAAAUGCGUAGAGAUCUGAAGGAAUACCGGUGGCGAAGGCGGCCCCCUGGACAAACACUGACUCUCAUGUACGAAAGCGUGGGGAGCACACAGGAUUAGAUACCCUGGUAGUCCACGCCGUAAACGAUGUCUACUCAGAGUGGGGUGACUUAGUCACUGCGCUCCCACGCUAACGCAUUAUGUACACCGCCUGGAGAGUACGCCCGCGGGGUUAACACUGAAAAUUUAUUUGACGGGGGCCCGCACACGCGGGUGGAGCAUGUGGUUUAUUUCUAUGCAACGCGAAGACCUUACCUACUCUUGACAUCCGCAGACCGCGAGAAAAGAUUCUGGUGGUCCUUCGUGAACUGAUGAAACAGGCGCUGCGAUGGGCUGUCAUCAGCUCGUCCUUCACAUGUAGAGUGAGUCCGCAACGAGCGCAGCCCUUAUCUAUGUGCGAGCCGUAUGGGUGGACUUCAGGAAAAGCUCCUGUACACCGGAGCAGUGGAGAGCGCCUCGUCCGAUGGCCUUGCGAUGAGCUCACCUGCAAUGGCUUGCAGUCGAGAGUCCGAAGUUAAGCAUAAUCA